rnacentral:rRNA from 1 species
UACGGAAGGCAGCAGUGGGGAAUAUUGCACAAUGGGCGCAAGCCUGAUGCAGCCAUGCCGCGUGUAUGAAGAAGGCCUUCGGGCUGUAAAGUACUUUCAGUCGUGAGGAAGGUGUUAAGGUUAAUAACCUUAGCAAUUGACGUUAGCGACAGAAGAAGCACCGGCUAACUCCGUGCCAGCAGCCGCGGUAAUACGGAGGGUGCGAGCGUUAAUCGGAAUUACUGGGCGUAAAGGGCACGCAGGCGGUUAAUUAAGUUGGAUGUGAAAUCCCCGGGCUUAACCUGGGAAUGGCAUUCAAGACUGGUUAGCUAGAGUCUUGUAGAGGGGGUAGAAUUCCAUGUGUAGCGGUGAAAUGCGUAGAGAUGUGGAGGAAUACCGGUGGCGAAGGCGGCCCCUGGGACAAAGACUGACGCUCAUGUGCGAAAGCGUGGGGAGCAAACAGGAUUAGAUACC